GAUCAUAAAUGUAAACGUUAAGCAUUUACUUAGAAAUAUUGCUUUAAUUGUUAGAAAUUUACAUAGGUGAUUAAAAUAAGUAGUUAACGUCUUUCUUUUAAUGGGGACGAUUAGUUCCUUUUUAGGAAUUAAACUGAGGUAGUAUAAUUGAACGCACCUAUAGAAUCCAUAAUGCAUCCAUAAUAUAGAAAUAAUUUUUAUCUAUGGAUCUUCCUGUUGUCUAUCGUCUGUCAUCUCCUCACUCAUCCUGUCUGUAGACGCGACGUUUGCCGGUUAGUUGCUGUAUUGCUCUUCUUUAAUGGAAGCGAUGUUUGAAGGUAUUUAGCGCUAAUCUUUAUUUACUUUUGAUUUGAUUGUGUGAAAUACGCUUCUAUAAAUUUAUUUAGUGAUUAAUAUGUAUUCAUUACGGUUGCUUAGUUUUUAAGCAUGGAUAUUUUUUCGAUGGUGGGUUUCUGGUCCAACCUGCAACUUAGAGUCCAUCUUGGCAACUUGGUUAUCUACUCAUCUUUUGCGAAUUUUUGUAGAUUCUCAGUUUAUUUGAGACCGAGCAAUUAGGGUUUUAUUAGAGUUUUUAAAUUUUGAAAAUGAAUUUAGACGAUGUUUGCAGAUUAUUGAUAUUAAUGUGACCACGCCGCGGAGAAUUGUUUCGUUUUAUAGCUAAAACGUGUUAAGAUACUUCUCUAAAAUCUUAUUCUCCCUUCGUAAAUUUCUAUUUGAAAAAUUUUCAUUCUUGCCUUGUUAUUCUGUAGAUUGGGUCUUAACGAUUUGUUUUGUUUUUUCUACAAUAUAGACAUGACUUGGAGAUGGCGUUGUUGGAUUAGAUUGCCGAACAAUUUACGGAUGUAGUGUUUUUAGCAGUCAGACACUUAUUUUUUAUUUCCAAGAAUGCUUCCAGUGAGCUGGUCGAAAAAUUCUGUAGACAUCGGAUGUGAAUGAUGUUUCUAUUAAAAUUUAAUAAAUAAGCACAGAGAGGGCAAACCAAAAGGACUUCAAAACGUGAAGAUACAGAGCCCCAUUCAUGCUUUUUCUACUUGGUCUUAGAGAGGUGGCAUUCGUAUGAAGGGUCGUCAUUUCAGCAUAUAAAGGAACGUCGUCGAUAUGACAAAUAAGGGCUGGAUACUUGGAGAAGUACAGUGCUGUUAAUGUUGUCUCUCCUGGACCUGAGGAUCUUCUGUAGAAAAGGUUAUCAUUUAAAAUUAUUAAAUGAACAAGGAGACAAAAAACAAGAAGGAUUCCAAACAUGGAGAAGUGGAGCCCUGUUAAUGUUCCGUCCUUUUAGAUUUGAAAAGUGCAAUUUUUUGAGAACAAAUGAAGUCCAAUUCACAUUGAUGUAUUUAGGAAUAAAACUUGAGCAUCGUACAAUUAACCUCGAGAUCGUUCAAAUGGUGAGAAAGGAAGAAUUAAUGUUCAGAUUGAUGGUAUUGCAACAGCCAAUGUCUUGUCUUGAUUUGCUGUUUUCGUCUUCAACUUGCAACAUUAUGCAGUUAAUAUUCAACCGAUGAGUGUGAGCCAGAGAAGAUUUAUAUAAAUCUCACUGAAACAAGUUUUCUGCUAUGAUAUUCCUUCUGGAUUUAGUUUGCUUUUCACACAUGCAAACUUGGGAACUUUACAGUAGUCUACUGUUUGCUAAGGUGAGAAUAUUUAAUAUAAUUACUAUUAAUUGCUCUUUAUUAAUCUGUUACCACCGUAUCUGUUUCAGAUCGACGUUGGAGAAGACAAAGAUGACCCCGUAGUUAAAAUAGUUCUUUUGUCUUGCAUGCUCUACCAAAUAGAAAUAAUUCUUUUAGUCCAAAUUCAGAUUAAUUUUUUAUUUUGAAUGUUUUUUUUUU